rnacentral:lncRNA from 1 species
AUUGGAAGUGAACAAGAUUUUUGCAGAGAUUUUCCCUGGUCAAGAGUGCAACAUGAGCCGUGGAUAUGAACUUUACUGUCAGAUGUACAUUGAUUGGAAAGUGAACAAGAUAUCUGCACUGAGAAUGAAUGAAGUUGAAGAAAGUUGAAAGGCACCCCAGAAGAACCUGAAUUAUUUUAGCCCUAUCCUAGAUUCAUUGAAUAUUUUAGUGUGUGAUAACAUGUGUGAAAUGUGAUCAAUUAUGUGACAAUUUUCAAAACUUGGAUUUAU